rnacentral:tRNA from 1 species
GGGGGUAUAGCUCAGCGGUAGAGCAGUGGCCUUUUAAGCCAUUGGUCCAAGGUUCAAUCCCUUGUGCCCCCACCA